GGACUACAAGGGUUUCUAAUCCAUUUCGAUAACCAUACUUUCGUGCCUUAAUGUCAGUAUUUACUUAGAUUAUUGCCUUCGCCUUCGGUUUUCUCUUGAGGUUUAAUGAAUUUUAUCUCUUAUCUCAAUGUUAUAUAAUCUUCCAUAAUACUCUAGAUUAAUAGUUAAAUUUUUAUUUCAUAUUAUUCCAUAUACGCACCUUUUAAACCCAAUAAUUAUGCUUAAUGUUAGCCCUUCUAGUAUUACCGCGGCGGCUGGCAC
rnacentral:rRNA from 1 species